UCCCAAUCGCCCCUCCAUCUUGGGGUCCUUGGGGUGUGUCCUUGACGGGGAUCGUGGGGUACCAUUCUCUUCCUGUCUUUAGCUUCCGGGCCAUGAGUGACUCUGCUCAGCCACAUGGCCCCAGCACAGUAUGCUGCCUCGUACACCCUAAAAGCCACGGGGACAACUGAUAAUGGGCUGGGACCCCCCCCAUGUGUGAGCCCAAAUAACCCUUUCCUCUUCAUAAGCUGAUUAUCUCGCCCUUGUUGCCUUGCUACCUUGUGUGCCCCAUGUUGUUUCUCCUCUGCGAUACCUGUUUGCCGUCCCUGCCUUGGAGCCACCUGAACACGAACUGAAACCUCUGUGAACUCUACAGAUCAUUCAUGCUGACUUUUGCAAAGCUCCUGCCCUGGCAGACAAGCCCGAGUGUUGGAAUCUGCAAAGUUGAUGAUUAGUCGAAACAGCCUGGACUUCAUCCACAGGACAUCUUGUAGCACAAUCAAGCACUACUUCAUCAUGCCUGGUGACAGGACUCUUCCCGUUAAAUCUCCAUCAGGAGCAGGGAGCCAGUGAACAGCUCAGCAGCUAAUUAGACAAGGCAACAUACAAGGCUGGUACAUGCUGACUUCAAUAGGCUGCAGUGGUGGACCUGUCAGACAGAUCUGUCUUGGCCCCUGUGCUUUCUACCCAUUACUGUACUAGUUGAACAUUAACACUCAGAAAUCUGCUGAUUUUCCCCAAUAUCCUGGCCCAUGCAGAGAAGGAGCUGAAAAGGAACUGUAUGUCUUAAAGAUAGUUCCAUGCUUCAUUAUCCCCAAAAGCAUCAAUCUUCAACUCAUUGUUAAAGAAGUAUCACAGAAUGUGGAGAUGUAGACAGGAUGGGUAAAAAUGCAGGGUGUGGGCUUUUUAGUGUCUCUGUUAUGAUUCCC
rnacentral:lncRNA from 1 species